rnacentral:rRNA from 1 species
AUUGAACGCUGGCGGAAUGCUUUACACAUGCAAGUCGAACGAUGAACCUUAGCUUGCUAAGGGGAUUAGUGGCGAACGGGUGAGUAAUAUAUCGGAACGUGCCUUGUAAUGGGGGAUAACUAGUCGAAAGAUUAGCUGAUACCGCAUACGCCCUGAGGGGGAAAGUAGGGGAUCUUCGGACCUUACGUUAUAAGAGCGGCCGAUAUCUGAUUAGCUAGUUGGUGGGGUAAUGGCCUACCAAGGCGACGAUCAGUAGCUGGUCUGAGAGGACGACCAGCCACACUGGAACUGAGACACGGUCCAGACUCCUACAGGAGGCAGCAGUGGGGAAUUUUGGACAAUGGGCGCAAGCCUGAUCCAGCCAUUCCGCGUGAGUGAAGAAGGCCUUCGGGUUGUAAAGCUCUUUCGCAAGGGAAGAAAACUUACCAUCGAAUAAAUGGUGAGGCUGACGGUACCUUGAUAAGAAGCACCGGCUAACUACGUG